rnacentral:lncRNA from 14 species
CAGGAGGUGGGAGAGGAGCUGGAGUGUAAAGGCUUAGGUCUAUCAGUGGCCUUUUCACCUUAUGUCUAUAGAUGAGUCUUUUAUUACGCUGGCACUGGCUUGGCUGCCUCCCAGGGCUGUGCUAUAAACCUGUGGCUAAUAAAGACAUUGGUUGCAUGGCUGAUGCCUCCUGUCUUUAACAGGCACACGGCUCCCUAUGGCCUGGGGAGCCCUCCAAAGAGGCGCAAGAGAUCCCUCAGCAGGUGUGAGUGCUCACGCUCAAGGGACAGCAUCUGUGCUGCCUUCUGCCAGGCCAAGCCUAGGUACCUUCAGAGUCUGAAGCUCCCAGUGAGCUCUGGAGCAUCAACAAGGUCUCCACAGAGCAGUGGUGUGAGGCCUUCCCAUCACAGCCUGCUGAGAGCUCUCAGGGAUCUUGCCAUCUCCAGCCUGCACUUCAAGCAUCAGCAGCGCUCCCAGAGGGGUGCACAGCCAACAGUUCUGCCUUGGAAGAAAAGCAUCUGGAAGAAGAAGAGAUAAGAAACAGGUGCUUACCAAGGUCACCAGAGGAAUCCGGGAGUCCUGUGGGUGCCACUAACUCCACUGUCGGUAGUUAGAGCUGAAGGAAAGGCCAUGAGUGGAAGGGAGAAGAAGCGGAAGUCUCCAUGCUCCUGUUGCAUGAACCAGUACUGAAUGCACUCCAGAGACUGUUGUAAAGGGGAAAACUCUCUCUAUACAGUCAUAGAUGUGUCGUGGAGCUGAAUUGUGCCUUUUUGGAUCAGGCAAGGGUCUUGCUGGAGGAGUACAAGUUUAACUCUGCACUGGAGUCUUAGGCAGAGAGUCAGCCUGUGCUGGGUGGUUGAAUCAUAUAGAAACCAGGUGGCUCUGUGUGCUUCUGACCUGGCAGCACUGGACCCAUAUCUCUGGCUUGUUCUGCUCUGCCUUUGAGCCAUGUCCAGGCAUGGUCCCAGCUUGGCCCCAGUCAGAGGUGGUUUGGCUGGUCACUGUAGACAGGGAUAAGCUACCUCCAGUGUGAGCCCACCUUUGCACUUUCUUCUCUUACUUGCCAGGCAGUGCGAUGUGCAUGUGAAUGAGACUCCCAUGGUAAAACAGCUCCCAGGUUUAAUUAAAACAAGUGUAUCAUCUAGAAGCCUGAAAGCCAACUGAGCAGUCAAUGGCAUUCCUUGGCUGAGGAAUUCACUGCAGGUCCGUCCUUAAGUGGCUCCCUUUAGGUGGAGGAUAGCUUGCUUACACUGGAGCUUGCAUCAAAUCCAAGCAUGACCCCGAGGCUGAAGCAGAGCUGCAUUUGUGCAGGAUCCCCAUGCAUGUAGUCUGGGGGAGGGAGCCCCACUGGGUCUGAGCAGGUCUGGAUGAGUUCCCUGUCUCAUCUCCUUGGACAUACCCUUUGUGGGGUAGAGUAAGUCCAGCUUUUAACCCAAUAUCUGAGCUUUCUCUCAGUUCUGCCUGAAAGGAAAGGCUAGGGGCAGAGAAGAUGGGUGGUGGGAAAAUAGCAUGCAAAGGCUUGCUUGCUUCUUUGCUUAGAUCAGGUCUUGGAGCUGAACUCUAUAUAAUUAAUGACCAGUAUAUGGGUAGCAUGUCACUAUGAGAAGUGGAACCUGAACAGAGAAUGCAUUAGGCAAGGGGCAGCCAGGUGGGAUUGAUGUGGAGAGAAGGACUAGGAAGAGAGCACAGCUUUAGAAAAAAGGCUGGGAUUUAAGCCCAUGCCAGAGUUACGGCUGCUUCCCAGGCCAUGGAGCAGCACGGAGCUGCAGGCCCAAAGGGAAGUCAUCAUUUGGAAUAAGCACUAAGCCCAGGACUUAGGAACUGAUCUUCUAGGCAAACCCAUCUCAAGGCUCUGGAGCUGUAUCGUGAAUGCACUUUUGUUUGCCUGGGCAGAUUAACUUGUGUUAUAAAUCGUGGCUGCAGAUCCAGCUAGUGCAGGGAAAUAACUGCUCUCCUGGAACCACUGUUGGGUCCCCCUUGCUGCCCAAUCCAGUAUUACACAUGAGCAUUUUAAAAGGCUGCUUAAAGUUGGCGGCUGGACCAAAAUCUGUGGCUGUUGCAAGUAUAGUCCCAUUGGACGUACAAAAUACGUCUUUUGAUUUUUGCUUUAAGCCCUAGAGGGGGUAAAAAUGAGACCAAGUGAUUGUAUUGUUAAUGACAGGGCAGACUCAUCGUUUGGUCCCCAAAGCUGCAGAGCAUCUUUUCUGUGUUUGACCUUCUGAAGGUUUGAGUCAUUCUACAAAAAGAAUAAUCCUUAAAGGGUUUGUUCCAGAGGAAACUUUGCACAUGGUUUAAUGUGAGCCUAGUAAUUUAAGAUGAAACUACUGCUGUAAAGUACUAGGUAUAUCUCCUUGUGUGUGUGAAGUCUCAUCUUUAGGUGACUUAUUGCACACGUGCCAUAUGUAGCAUCCUGAAAUCUGUGUAUUUAUUUAAAUCUAUUGAUCUUUUUUCAGACAGUAAUUUGCAAAAUAUAAUUUGUAAUAAAUAAUGAC